UGGGCAGGGAUUGUGUGUAUCGGUGUUGUGCUACAAUCAUUGCAUUAUUCCGAAAGAGUUCCCUGCAAAACAAAUUUGGGGAAGAUGGGCAGUUGUGUUUCAGCUUGCUGUUGAAAAUAACAACAAUCAUCGCCACUACAUAU
rfam:Vigna angularis cultivar Jingnong 6 chromosome 3, whole genome shotgun sequence.